rnacentral:rRNA from 1 species
UCCACGCCGUAAACGAUGGAUACUAGCUGUUGGACGUAAGUUCAGUGGCCCAGCGAAAGUGAUAAGUAUCCCACCUGGGGAGUACGUUCGCAAGAAUGAAACUCAAAGGAAUUGACGGGGGCCCGCACAAGCGGUGGAGCAUGUGGUUUAAUUCGAUGAUACGCGAGGAACCUUACCAGGGCUUAAAUGUAAGUUGCAUUAUCCAGAGAUGGAUAUUUCUUCGGACUACUUACAAGGUGCUGCAUGG